AAUUAAAUCUUGGAAAUUC
rnacentral:tRNA from 1 species